rnacentral:tRNA from 1 species
GGAGAGGUGGCGGAAUGGUAGACGCGCUACUUUGAGGGGGUAGUGUCCUCAGGACGUGGGAGUUCGAGUCUCCUCCUCUUCA